AAACUGGGGUUAAUUCCCGAUGGGUGAGGAGGCCUGGAAUGGUUCUUCACUGAAAGGGCGCUAGAGGCAUGCUCUCUAACGUUGCCCAAGGAUGGGGCCGCGGCCGAUCAGGUUGUUGGUGAGGUAACGGCUUACCAAGCCUAUAACCGGUACGGGCCGUGAGAGCGGAAGCCCGGAGAUGGGCACUGAGAUAAGGGCCCAGGCCCUACGGGGCGCAGCAGUUGCGAAAACUCCGCAAUGCACGAAAGUGUGACGGGGCUACCCCGAGUGCCGUCCGCUGAGGAUGGCUUUUCUCCGCUGUAAGGAGGCGGAGGAAUAAGGAGAGGGCAAGACUGGUGUCAGCCGCCGCGGUAAUACCAGCUCUCCGAGUGGUAGGGGUGAUUAUUGGGCUUAAAGCGUCCGUAGCCGGCCUGGCAAGUCUUCCGUUAAAUCCAGCAACCUAAUUGUUGGGCUGCGGGGGAUACUGUUAGGCUUGGGGGCGGGAGAGGCCGACGGUAUUCUCGGGGUAGGGGUGAAAUCUUAUAAUCCCGAGAGGACCACCAGUGGCGAAGGCUGUCGGCUAGCACGCGCUGACGGUGAGGGACGAAAGCUGGGGGAGCGAACCGGAUUAGAUACCCGGGUAGUCCCUGCUGUAAACGAUGCGAGCUAGGUGUUGGGGCGGCUACGAGCCGCUUCAGUGCCGCAGCGAAGGCGUUAAGCUCGCCGCCUGGGGAGUACGGCCGCAAGGCUGAAACUUAAAGGAAUUGGCGGGGGAGCACCACAAGGCGUGAAGCUUGCGGUUCAAUUGGAGUCAACGCCGGGAACCUUACCGGGGGCGACAGCAGGAUGAAGGCCAGGUUGAUGGUCUUGCUGGACGAGCUGAGAGGAGGCGCAUGGCCGUCGUCAGUUCGUGCCGUGAGGCGUCCUCUUAAGUGAGGUAACGAUCGAGACCCGCACCCCUUGUUGCUAACAGACUCCAUCGGGGUCUGUGCACACUAGGGGGACCGCCGUCGAUAAGACGGAGGAAGGAGCGGGCCACGGCAGGUCAGUAUGCCCUGAAUCCCCCGGGCCACACGCGAGCUGCAAUGGCAGGGACAAUGGGUGUCGACUCCGAAAGGAGGAGGUAAUCUCUAAACCCUGCCUCAGUUGGGAUCGAGGGCUGAAACCCGUCCUCGUGAAUAUGGAAUGCCUAGUAAUCGCGCGUCAUCAUCGCGCGGUGAAUACGUCCCCGCUCCUUGCACACACCGCCCGUCGUUCCAUCCGAGUGGGGUUUGGGUGAGGCGUAGUCCUUGGUGGCUGCGUCGAACUCAGGUUCCGCAAGGAGGG
rnacentral:rRNA from 1 species